GCCUGGCUAGCUCAGUUGGUAGUGCAUGGGACUCUUGAGCUCAGGAGCAUGGGUUUGAAUCCCAUGCUGGGUG